rnacentral:rRNA from 1 species
UACGUAGGGUGCAAGCGUUGUCCGGAAUUAUUGGGCGUAAAGAGCUCGUAGGCGGUUUGUCGCGUCUGCUGUGAAAACCCGAGGCUCAACCUCGGGCCUGCAGUGGGUACGGGCAGACUAGAGUGCGGUAGGGGAGAUUGGAAUUCCUGGUGUAGCGGUGGAAUGCGCAGAUAUCAGGAGGAACACCAAUGGCGAAGGCAGAUCUCUGGGCCGUAACUGAUGCUGAGGAGCGAAAGCGUGGGGAGCGAACAGG